rnacentral:rRNA from 1 species
GUGCCAGCCGCCGCGGUAAAACGGAGGGUGCAAGCGUUGUUCGGAAUUACUGGGCGUAAAGCGCGUGCAGGUGGUCUUUUAAGUUUCGUGUGAAAUCCCACGGCUUAACCGUGGAACGGCACGGAAAACUGGAAGACUUGAAUACGGGAGAAGAGGGCGGAAUUCCCAGUGUAGAGGUGAAAUUCGUAGAUAUUGGGAGGAACACCGGUGGCGAAAGCGGCUCUCUAGACCGAUAUUGACGCUCAUACGCGAGAGCGUGGGUAGCAAACAGGAUUAGAUACCCUUGUAGUCC